UUGAGCCUUUCACUGUCUUUUCUGUCUAUAUGUGUAUGAUAUCACCACUGUUUCACUGCAUCACAUCUACCUUUACCUGGACACGCAGGAGACCCGGCAUUCUGGUGCUGAUCAACGACGCCGACUGGGAGCUCAUGGGGGAGCUGGACUACCGCCUGCAGGAGCAGGACACGGUGGUGUUUAUCUCCACACUGCACGGGGGCUAGAGCGCACGCCAGCAAGACUCAACCCCAUUGGACGAGGCCUCGGUGACAUUUUUUCAUCUUUUUCUUCUCUUGUGUUUUUCACAUGGCGGCCUGGCCAGAGGCAGGAAGUGGUCAGCUGACACAGGUGAUUGAAGUCAACAUUUUUAUUGUAGAAGAAGCUGCACUGUAGAACACAAAGCAAUACAAAUCCAAACAUUGGUGAAGAAAGUGAGUGUUGUUUCCAAGAGGUGGUUGAUGAGCCUCACAAUCACACAUCUAGUGGCACACACGGCAAAAUGCUGUUUGCCCCCCACCCCCCCCCCCCUUGUUUUUCUUCACACUUUAAUCCUGUAAAACCAUUUUUGAUUAUUUUUUUCAAUAGUUUUGGAAUGCAGCGUUGCCAUGGUUAGGGCAGCCCUACAUAGAGGGCCGCCUAAAACAUACCUGGGGUCUCUACUCGGUUGUCAUGACAACAUCAAACAUUUCAUCUAUGACAUCAUCGUAAUCAUUUCUAUUUGGGAAGUUAGAGUUUUACAUAUUGUGCUCCUGGGUCGAAUUGAAUCCAACCCAAUCCACUUUAUUUAUAUAACACAUUUAAACAACAACAUGUUUCCAAAGUGCUGCACAACAAUAUUAAAAACAACAUUCAAAUACUAUCCUGAGCUCCACCAAUGACUGAAUAAAAACAUAAAUAAAUAAUAAUAGAUAAUAAUGAAUAAAUAACCAAUACAAAAACAAUAUGAUUAAAAACGAUUUUAAGGGUGAAAGCAAUUAACAGUAACUAGAAAUCCCAUUUUAAAACAGAGGACCACAGAAGAAUAAAAGUGGGUCUUAAGACGAGACUUAAAAGAGUCCACUGUGGGAGCAGUUUGAACAUGGAGGGGCAGAGUGUUCCAGAGUUUAGGGCCGACCACAGAGCAGGUCCUGUCUCCCCUGGUUUUAAGUCUGGUCUUGGACACCACGAGCUGGAACUGGCUCUCGGACCAGGAUUGUAAGUUUGGAUGAGGUCCGAGAUGAAAUGGGGUGCCAGUACAUGUACAGAUUUAAAAACAAAGAGCAAGGUUUUAAAAUCAGUUCUAAAGUGACCAGGGAGCCAGUGCAGACUCUGAAGGAUUGUGGUUAUAUUUCUGGCGUUUCCUGGCCUCUGUUAAAAGUCCUGCUGCCGCGUUCUGGACUAACUGACACCGGGAGAGAUAGGAAUGAUUGUUUUAAGCGCACAAAUGACCACUAAAGCUGUAUUUUCAUUUGCACUUCAAUUUUAUUGACAGUAUAUUUCAGAAACAUUCAAUAUUACUUUCUAUUAAUGGAGUUACAACUUAUUAAUUUAAGCGCCACAUAUUUGUAUAGACAUUUUUCAUCAUCUUUUAUGAGUGCCUUUUUUUUGCAGUAUUUUAUGAGUAUUUCUGUCUGUGAUCAGCCUGACAUUGAUGAAGAACACAUGCUUUCAGAUCAUGUGACAAGGUUUAUCCUGUUAGACUCUAAGUAUGUUGGAUGAUUCAAAUGAGGAGUAAGAUUAUUCAUUCACUGGUGAUAUGAUCUGGAGUGGGGAAGUUGUGAAAAAGGCUGAGAAGCCCUGAUUGGAGCACAACACUUGAAGGGAAAGAGAUGAUUUAGCAAAAGUGACAUAUAUUUGCAAAUCUCCCUGAGCAGCACGUCUGCCUUGCAAGAGCAGCACAGCAGUUAGCAGCACAGCAGUUAGCAGCACAGCAGCACCACAGCAGUUAGCACCACAGCAGUUAGCAGCACAGCAGCACCACAGCAGUUAGCAGCACAGCAGUUAGCAGCACAGCAGUUAGCACCAGCAGUUAGCAGCACGUCUGCCUUGCAAGAGCAGCACAGCAGUUAGCAGCACAGCAGUUAGCACCACAGCAGUUAGCAGCACGUCUGCCUUGCAAGAGCAGCACAGCAGUUAGCAGCACAGCAGUUAGCACCACAGCAGUUAGCACCACAGCAGUUAGCAGCACGUCUGCCUUGCAAGAGCAGCACAGCAGUUAGCAGCACAGCAGUUAGCACCACAGCAGUUAGCACCACAGCAGUUAGCAGCACGUCUGCCUUGCAAGAGCAGCACAGCAGUUAGCAGCACAGCAGUUAGCACCACAGCAGUUAGCACCACAGCAGUUAGCACCACAGCAGUUAGCAGCACGUCUGCCUUGCAAGAGCAGCACAGCAGUUACUUCAGGACAAUCUCCACUUGUCAGUGGCGGAGCAGGAAGGGGCUUGGAAACAUUUCCAUGCGCUUCUUCACAUAAACUCGGUGUGAUCUGGGCAUAGCAGUUCUUCUCCAGUCGCAGGCCCCUCGGUACAUGCUUUAUCAGUAUCAUGCACUACAAAACCUGCUCAUCGUAGACAUGAAUCCUAAUUUUCACAAUUUGCUUCAAAAAGUCAAAAAUUGGCGCACCUUGUUUGAUUCAUUUUUAUUUUAUAGAUUAAAAUGUUGUAUAUACUGUACUCCUGAGUUAAUGAAUGAUAUUUUUUUAAUGGAGUUUAUCAACAUUUUUACUAUCAAAUGACUCAACUUGGUCAAAAAUGUUUGGAGUUUAAAUAAGGAUUUCAUUCUUUAAACAAACAAAUCUUUUUUGUUACACACUGAAAACAAUGUUAAUAAAGUUAUUUGUUAAUUGA